GCUGGCAAUGCUGGUAUCAGAACACCAUAUGCUGGAAAUCAUUUAUGUAUCUGGCACGAAAUACCUGGGAGAAGGAGAGACCCCAACUUUGAGUUGCAGCAUCAGGCAUUGACAGAGUCAGACCUCACAAACACAGGCCCCCUGGUACAAAAAAACAAAGAAGCAAAACAAUGAGACUGGGUUUGGAGAGGAGAUGAAGCACUCGCACCUUUCCCGAAGAGCAGACCCCAAGGCAAAAGUCAUGUCCUUUCUGCUGUUGAAAAUUCAGAAGUCAACCAGACAGCGGCCACUAUCAGUGCAGGGCUAAAAUAAACGAUACUGACCUUACAGCUGUGGGCCACCUCGUUAGAAUGAAUGUAACUGACAGAUGAUCCUUCAAUACAACCUCUGAGAAGUGAUGUUGCACUAGUCACAGUCUGGGACUUGUACCAUGAAAACACAGUUUGUGAAGUCUGAGCUGCUUUGCUUGAAAACAAGAUAACGUUCCUGAGAUGCUGUAAGAACAACAACAUCUUACUGCACAUGAUGAAUAUCUGGGAUUCACGUUGUGUUUCAUGGCACACUUCAAGGUUCUGGGGACUGAUUUCUGGACUUCCUGGUAUUGGUUCACUGGAAUUAUUCACUUUACCUGUUAAUCCCAUCCACAUCCUAUGGGUAGAGGAAUAUUAAUUCGUCAUUUCUUUUCUAGUCCUGAAAGUGAAAUUCUCUUGCAUCCGAUGUCAGUUCUUCCAGGUUUUGCCUUCAUUCAGGUGACAGAUUUCUCAAUGUCUUACUCUUUGAAAUGGAGAGAUGGUUUCUUUCCAACUGUACGUUCUGGGACUUGCCUCCAUGCAGGGAGGAAGGUUUUCCCUUUCUGCAACAACUCCCCAUGCAAAGAAGGAUUUCCUCAGAUGGAUUCCAGUUGUUAUUUUAUUGCAAGUCAUUUGAGAAAUACAGAACAUACGCUCCUCUAACAACUUUCCCAGGCAUUAAAAAAAAAAAUAGAUCUUAGCCUAAGCCCAGGACUGUGUGUCUGUGUACACACAGAGAUGGAGGAACAAGUGUUUCCUUUUUAAAGCCUCUGUUAAAGUCACUGUCCAAACUGGACUUAAAUAUCGUCCAUUUGUAGAUGGUGAUCUCUUUGGAGCAGGGACCACACCUCUUUUUCUCUUUGGGAGACCUCUUCACACCAUGCAAGCUAGAAUGGGGAUUGCACAGGAAGCAGAAAUGAAGCUGAUUUCUAACUAAGCGUUCUGCAAACAGAAACCAAACCCAGGCAUAUCAUUUUCCUCUAACUCAGGGAUGUUUUGAAAUGCUGUUUU